rnacentral:lncRNA from 10 species
AGAGUACAAGGGGAAACUUACAGCAAAAUUUUCACUGUUGAUAGCUUUCCUGGGGAAGACAACACAUGCACAAAUCCUGGUGUUAGGAAUAUUUUAAGCAUAUAUCUGCAAUAUUAUUCAUCCAGGACUGAAGUAAGUCCUGAUGCAGGAAAUGAGUGAGUUUCACAGCUUUCUGAGCCCCUACUUGACCCAGGAAGCCCAGCUGGCACCUCCUCUCAGUUCCACAUUUACAGGUUAUUUGAUAAUUAUCAAGCACUGUUCCAAGAAUGAGGAUUUCAGUAUUAGGAAUUCAGGAGCAGUUUGGUUUGACAGUUCUGAUUCUAGGAUUUUCAUGAGGUUGGCGUCAGAUCUCAGCUGGAGCUGCAGGCAUCUGAUGGUUUGAAGUUGGAGGAUCCAUCCCCAAGGUACCUCACCAAAAGAUUGUCAAGCUCAAACGCAGUGGCUGAUCCUCACUGACUCCUCUUCCUAAGGUUGUUGUACUAGGAGCAUCUCCUAACACUACACGGACACAAUUCAAUGACAAAAAUCAGAGAAGGAAAACAAAACAAAACUUCUGGAAUGCCUCUUCAUCUGUACUGUAUCCUUGACAGAAUUCCUAUUGAGUGGUUUUCAUAUUUAACAACAGAUCCAAUUUUGUCAAAUAAAUUCUUACAUGGAACUCCAAUCCGUUGAAUUAGAAGAAAAGUUAGUAUAAGUUAUUUCAAGUUUAAUAGUUUUAGUUGUUAAUUUAUUUCUUAAUUUUGUCUUUCAGGGCACAGUGUUGAGAAAUCAUUUACACAGACAAAAAAUUGCAACUGAUUUUUAACUAUUUCUGCGUGCUAUCUUCCUACAUUUUCCAAUUAAAUUCUGAUAGUUCGACAAGAACUGAUUUCUAUUUUUCAAAAUUAUAUCACUAACUUACCAAUAUUCAACUAGUGCUUGCUUUCAAUGAUUGGUUAAUAUUGGCUCUGAAAACGUUCCUUUGCCAACAUAAAUGUUCAUUAAGAAUUUUUCAAAAAUGUCAAAAAAAUACCACCUCAGUUUCAACUAUGAAGUAACAAUUUAAUAUUUCAAAACAGUCAUAUUUAUUUUUCCUUGCUGUUAAAAUCAAACUUUAGCUUCAAUUUUAAGGCGGGCAUUCUAUAUACAUUUAAAAGUAGGUAAUUUUGUGAGUGUGAAUUGGACUUACUUAGAUUACUAAAAUUAGCAGCAAAAUAUAUAACCUGUUUCCACAACAUCUGGAGUUUAAGUAUUAACACUGUAAAAUAUUAUCUGAAUUUCUCAUAUUUUAAACUAUCAUAUGGACAAUAGAACAGAUUCCACUAUAAAAAUAAUUUUUAAAUCACUUCAAGUAGGAUUACAUGUAACUCUGAAUGAAAUGCAGUUAAAACAUAAAACAUAAUAAAAAUAUAACUAGUGUAGUGUUUGCUGACAGUAUUUGCCUAGCAAAUUUCCUUAAUCAGGGAUCUUUUUAAUGAAACACAAUGAUGGUUCAUACAUAAUAAAAGUCUCAUACGUGCUUUUUUGCUUAGAUAGUUUUCAAAUUUUUAAUACAGCUUUCAUUACACUUUUGAUACCUUACUUGAUAAAAUAUUUUUAAACGCAAAUGCUUAAACACUGUAAAUAUUUUUUCUUAAUUUUUAUGAUUACCUGGAAAAUAAUGAGAACAGUAACAUCUGAAGCCUCUUCCACCUGAAUGAUGAAGAUGUCAAAUAUUCUCAGCCUCAAAUUAAUGUGUCAAGUACAUUGGAUUUGUAUCUUUGUGUUCUUUCCUAUCUUCUUAAAAAAUUGUGCUAAUUACAUUUUCAAAAAUUGUUGUUUUUCUAACAUAUUGGUUACAAUAUCAAUAUAUGUGGCUUAAUAAAAUAGUCUCUGAGAACAUGUGCUUUUCUGAAUGUGUCAGGUGGCAGCUUGCUUUUAACAAUAUUGUAAGUUUUUAUAAUCAGAUUUAAAUUGUGUUUAUCUAAAAUAUUUAUGAACAUUGAAUUUAUGGUGAACAAAGCAGAGUCUUCUUUCAAAUCGCAUGUAGUUAUGUUUCAAAUAUGUGAAAUUUUUGAAUACUUCAUUAAAAUUUUAUUUUAAUAGAACACAUUAAAU